AGAUUUUUUGACUCUUUCUAGGCUGUAGUUUCUUUCCAGACUAUCUUACAGCGAUUUGAGUGCCUUGAGCCAACUUCCCUUUCUGACCCAAAGACUAGAUCUCCGUGGAUGCAAUACGGAAGCUCAACCCAACCCUGAGCCCGGGGUUUUCCCGGAUGUCCACUGAAGAAAAUUCCCAGGAAGACUCCGGUAAGAAGAUACGUCGUUUAUGACUAAGGCGGUUUGGGAAAUGAAGAGACUGUCCUCAUUUCUUAUACUGACUUCAGUCUUUUAAGGAAGAAUGCAUUUAAGGAAGCCUCAAACACCGGAACAGGGAGUGUAAGUCCCUCCAGUAAGAAAACACAGAGAAGGAAGGGGGAAAAAAUAGAUAGAUAGACUCUGAUCCUUUCUCCUCAGAAGUGUUAAUGAAGAACCUGAACAACUUGACUCUCAACCCUGGUACCCAAUCCCUUUCCUCUCUGCCAGAAGAUCAGUUCCAGCAGGGGGACAGAGAAAAGAUCAGAGGGGAGAAGAGAAAUGCUUUUGUCUUCUGGAGAAGUGCAGUAAGGACAUCGUUAUCUCGGCGGAAAGAAAUGUUUGAGAGAAUGGUAAAAGUGAAAUACCUCUACCUCAACCAAUCUUAUCUGUGUUUUCAAUGAAUAUUUCUUUAUCCUUCCCAUGAAGGUUGAAAGAGAGCUAACAAGCACUCGGCAUGAGAGCUUUCAGAAUGGAUCGAGAAAUGAAACAUUAAGAUGCGGCUGUCUUUUUUGCCUAUAUUAUAGUUGAGAUUCUUCUGAGAAUGCUAGCAUAGAGAAUAAUUAUGACUUAGAGUCAAUUUAGUCAUAAAAAUCAUUCUUGUACUUUUCUUUCUCACUAGUA